GACGAACGCUGGCGGCGUGCCUAAUACAUGCAAGUAGAACGCUGAAGGAGGAGCUUGCUCUUCUGGAUGAGUUGCGAACGGGUGAGUAACGCGUAGGUAACCUGCCUGGUAGCGGGGGAUAACUAUUGGAAACGAUAGCUAAUACCGCAUAAGAGUAGAUGUUGCAUGACAUUUGCUUAAAAGGUGCAAUUGCAUCACUACCAGAUGGACCUGCGUUGUAUUAGCUAGUUGGUGGGGUAACGGCGCACCAAGGCGACGAUACAUAGCCGACCGGAGAGGGUGAUCGGCCCCACUGGGACGGGGACACGGCCCAGACUCCUACGGGAGGCAGCAGUAGGGAAUCUUCGGCAAUGGACGGAAGUCUGACCGAGCAACGCCGCGUGAGUGAAGAAGGGUUUCGGAUCGUAAAGCUCUGUUGUAAGGGAAGAACGAGUGUGAGAGUGGAAAGGUCACACUGGGACGGUAUCUUACCAGAAAGGGACGGCUAACUACGUG
rnacentral:rRNA from 1 species